rfam:Punctularia strigosozonata HHB-11173 SS5 unplaced genomic scaffold PTNSTscaffold_6, whole genome shotgun sequence.
ACACCGGUGGUGAAACGGUAUCAUGCUUGCCUUCCACUUUGAUCAAUCAGCUCAUAGCAAGCGGCACGGGUUCGACUCCCGUCCGGUGUA